rnacentral:rRNA from 1 species
AUUGAACGCUGGCGGCAUGCCUAACACAUGCAAGUCGAACGAGUGGCGGACGGGUGAGUAAUGUCUGGGAACGUGCCCGAUGGCGGGGGAUAACUACUGGAAACGGUAGCUAAUACCGCAUACCAUCGGAUGUGCCCAGAUGGGAUUAGCUAGUAGGUGGGGUAAUGGCUCACCAAGGCGACGAUCCCUAGCUGGUCUGAGAGGAUGACCAGCCAAACUGGAACUGAGACACGGUCAAGACUCCUACGGGAGGCAGAAGUGGGGAAUAUGGCAAAAUGGGGGAAAGCCUGAUGCAGCCAGGCCGCGUGUAGGAAGAAGGCCUUCGGGUUGUAAAGUACUUUCAGCGAGGAGGCGGUACUCGCAGAAGAAGCACCGGCUAACUCCGUGCCAGCAGCCGCGGUAAUAC